UAUUGACGGUGUCUUUUGCCUUGCAGUA
rnacentral:piRNA from 1 species